GCCUAGCCCUAAAUCAUGACACUUUUCUCACUGAAGUGUCCGCCUGAGAACUACGAGCACAAACGCUUAAAACUCUAAGGACUUGGCGGUGCCUUAAACCCACCUAGAGGAGCCUGUUCUGUAAUCGAUAACCCACGAUACACCCAACCACCCCUUGCCAGAGCAGCCUACAUACCGCCGUCGCCAGUUCACCUUCCCUGAAAGCACAACAGUGGACACAACAGCCCUAACUUCGCUAGCAAGACAGGUCAAGGUAUAGCUUAUGGGGUGGAAGAAAUGGGCUACAUUUUCUAGCAUAGAAAACUUCACGGAAGUGGGUGUGAAAUCACCCACAGAAGGCGGAUUUAGCAGUAAAGGGAGAUAAUACAUCUUCCUUUAAGCCGGCUCUGGGGCACGU
rnacentral:rRNA from 1 species